rnacentral:rRNA from 1 species
ACUAAGCGUACACGGUGGAUGCCCUGGCAGUCAGAGGCGAUGAAGGGCGUGCUAAUCUGCGAUAAGCGCCGGUAAGGUGAUAUGAACCGUUAUAACCGGCGAUACCCGAAUGGGGAAACCCAGUGUGAUUCGUCACACUAUCAUUAACUGAAUCCAUAGGUUAAUGAGGCGAACCGGGGGAACUGAAACAUCUAAGUACCCCGAGGAAAAGAAAUCAACCGAGAUUCCCCCAGUAGCGGCGAGCGAACGGGGAGGAGCCCAGAGCCUGAAUCAGCAUGUGUGUUAGUGGAAGCGUCUGGAAAGGCGCGCGAUACAGGGUGACAGCCCCGUACACAAAAGCGCAUGUGCUGUGAGCUCGAUGAGUAGGGCGGGACACGUGGUAUCCUGUCUGAAUAUGGGGGGACCAUCCUCCAAGGCUAAAUACUCCUGACUGACCGAUAGUGAACCAGUACCGUGAGGGAAAGGCGAAAAGAACCCCGGCGAGGGGAGUGAAAAAGAACCUGAAACCGUGUACGUACAAGCAGUGGGAGCCCCACCACUAAGCCAGUGGUGAACUCCACAUCCGCAUCCUUUGCUGAGGAUACGGGUUAACGGAGCGAAAGCGACGUUCAACCGCAAAACAAGCAGAGGGGGCUUAGUGGUGGGGUGACUGCGUACCUUUUGUAUAAUGGGUCAGCGACUUAUAUUCUGUAGCAAGGUUAACCGAAUAGGGGAGCCGGAGGGAAACCGAGUCUUAAUUGGGCGUUAAGUUGCAGGGUAUAGACCCGAAACCCGGUGAUCUAGCCAUGGGCAGGUUGAAGGUUGGGUAACACUAACUGGAGGACCGAACCGACUAAUGUUGAAAAAUUAGCGGAUGACCUGUGGCUGGGGGUGAAAGGCCAAUCAAACCGGGAGAUAGCUGGUUCUCCCCGAAAGCUAUUUAGGUAGCGCCUCGUGAAUUCAUCUCCGGGGGUAGAGCACUGUUUCGGCUAGGGGGCCAUCCCGGCUUACCAACCCGAUGCAAACUGCGAAUACCGGAGAAUGUUAUCACGGGAGACACACGGCGGGUGCUAACGUCCGUCGUGAAGAGGGAAACAACCCAGACCGCCAGCUAAGGUCCCAAAGUCAUGGUUAAGUGGGAAACGAUGUGGGAAGGCCCAGACAGCCAGGAUGUUGGCUUAGAAGCAGCCAUCAUUUAAAGAAAGCGUAAUAGCUCACUGGUCGAGUCGGCCUGCGCGGAAGAUGUAACGGGGCUAAACCAUGCACCGAAGCUGCGGCAGCGAACGUAUCACUUAAAGCGAUUCAGCGGGUUACGAUUGACGGAGCGAAGCGACGUCAAAGCGUAUACAAAGUCGAGUCGGUUUAAGGAUACGUUCGUUGGGUAGGGGAGCGUUCUGUAAGCCCGUGAAGGUGGCCUGUGAGGGUUGCUGGAGGUAUCAGAAGUGCGAAUGCUGACAUAAGUAACGAUAAAGCGGGUGAAAAGCCCGCUCGCCGGAAGACCAAGGGUUCCUGUCCAACGUUAAUCGGGGCAGGGUGAGUCGACCCCUAAGGCGAGGCCGAAAGGCGUAGUCGAUGGGAAACGGGUUAAUAUUCCCGUACUUGGUGUUACUGCGAAGGGGGGACGGAGAAGGCUAUGUUGGCCGGGCGACGGUUGUCCCGGUUUAAGCGUGUAGGUGUGUGUUCCAGGUAAAUCCGGUUCACUUUAACACUGAGGCGUGACGACGAGGCACUACGGUGCUGAAGCAACAAAUGCCCUGCUUCCAGGAAAAGCCUCUAAGCAUCAGGUAACACGAAAUCGUACCCCAAACCGACACAGGUGGUCAGGUAGAGAAUACCAAGGCGCUUGAGAGAACUCGGGUGAAGGAACUAGGCAAAAUGGUGCCGUAACUUCGGGAGAAGGCACGCUGACACGUAGGUGAAGUGAUUUACUCAUGGAGCUGAAGUCAGUCGAAGAUACCAGCUGGCUGCAACUGUUUAUUAAAAACACAGCACUGUGCAAACACGAAAGUGGACGUAUACGGUGUGACGCCUGCCCGGUGCCGGAAGGUUAAUUGAUGGGGUCAGCGCAAGCGAAGCUCCUGAUCGAAGCCCCGGUAAACGGCGGCCGUAACUAUAACGGUCCUAAGGUAGCGAAAUUCCUUGUCGGGUAAGUUCCGACCUGCACGAAUGGCGUAAUGAUGGCCAGGCUGUCUCCACCCGAGACUCAGUGAAAUUGAACUCGCUGUGAAGAUGCAGUGUACCCGCGGCAAGACGGAAAGACCCCGUGAACCUUUACUAUAGCUUGACACUGAACAUUGAGCCUUGAUGUGUAGGAUAGGUGGGAGGCUUUGAAGUGUGGACGCCAGUCUGCAUGGAGCCGACCUUGAAAUACCACCCUUUAAUGUUUGAUGUUCUAACGUGGACCCGUAAUCCGGGUUGCGGACAGUGUCUGGUGGGUAGUUUGACUGGGGCGGUCUCCUCCUAAAGAGUAACGGAGGAGCACGAAGGUUGGCUAAUCCUGGUCGGACAUCAGGAGGUUAGUGCAAUGGCAUAAGCCAGCUUGACUGCGAGCGUGACGGCGCGAGCAGGUGCGAAAGCAGGUCAUAGUGAUCCGGUGGUUCUGAAUGGAAGGGCCAUCGCUCAACGGAUAAAAGGUACUCCGGGGAUAACAGGCUGAUACCGCCCAAGAGUUCAUAUCGACGGCGGUGUUUGGCACCUCGAUGUCGGCUCAUCACAUCCUGGGGCUGAAGUAGGUCCCAAGGGUAUGGCUGUUCGCCAUUUAAAGUGGUACGCGAGCUGGGUUUAGAACGUCGUGAGACAGUUCGGUCCCUAUCUGCCGUGGGCGCUGGAGAACUGAGGGGGGCUGCUCCUAGUUUACGAGCGCAGGCAACGCCGCUGAUGCGAUAAAGAAUUGCGUACAGAACGUAAAAACGGUCUGAUAACAGAAUUUGCCUGGCGGCACUAGCGCGGUGGUCCCACCUGACCCCAUGCCGAACUCAGAAGUGAAACGCCGUAGCGCCGAUGGUAGUGUGGGGUCUCCCCAUGCGAGAGUAGGGAACUGCCAGGCAUCAAAUU